UACGAAGGGGGCUAGCGUUGUUCGGAAUUACUGGGCGUAAAGCGCGCGCAGGCGGUCUUCCAAGUCAGUGGUGAAAGCCCGGAGCUCAACUCCGGAACUGCCAUUGAAACUGUAAGACUUGAGGAUGAGAGAGGUGAGUGGAAUUCCCAGUGUAGAGGUGAAAUUCGUAGAUAUUGGGUGGAACACCGGUGGCGAAGGCGGCCAUCUGGGCUGUAACUGACGCUGAGGCGCGAGAGCGUGGGGAGCAAACAGG
rnacentral:rRNA from 1 species